UUGGAGGGCAAGUCUGGUGCCAGCAGCCGCGGUAAUUCCAGCUCCAAUAGCGUAUAUUAAAGUUGUUGCAGUUAAAAAGCUCGUAGUUGAAUUUCGGAAUCUGUCCAUCGGUCGGGCUUCACUGUUCGUACUGGUGUGGUGGGUUCUUACCUUCUGAAUAACCAGCAUGCCAUUAAUUUGGUGCGUUGGGGAAGCAGGACUAUUACCUUGAAAAAAUUAGAGUGCUCAAAGCAGGCUAGUGCCUGAAUACAUUAGCAUGGAAUAAUAAAAUAGGACGGCAUGGUUCUAUUUUGUUGGUUUCUAGGAUCACCGUAAUGAUUAAUAGGGAUAGUUGGGGGCAUUAGUAUUCAAUUGUCAGAGGUGAAAUUCUUGGAUUUAUUGAAGACUAACUUCUGCGAAAGCAUUUGCCAAGGAUGUUUUCAUUAAUCAAGAACGAAAGUUAGGGGAUCGAAGACGAUCAGAUACCGUCGUAGUCUUAACCAUAAACUAUGCCGACUAGGGAUCGGACGAUGUUAAUUUUUUAAUGACUCGUUCGGCGCCUUACGGGAAAC
rnacentral:rRNA from 1 species